rnacentral:rRNA from 1 species
AACGAACGCUGGCGGCAGGCUUAACACAUGCAAGUCGAGCGCAUCCUUCGGGGUGAGCGGCAGACGGGUGAGUAACGCGUGGGGAUGUGCCUGGUGGUACGGAACAACUCAGGGAAACUUGAGCUAAUACCGUAUAAGCCCUUUUGGGGAAAGAUUUAUCGCCACCAGAUCAACCCGCGUUGGAUUAGCUAGUUGGUGAGGUAACGGCUCACCAAGGCGACGAUCCAUAGCUGGUCUGAGAGGAUGAUCAGCCACACUGGGACUGAGACACGGCCCAGACUCCUACGGGAGGCAGCAGUGGGGAAUAUUGGACAAUGGGCGCAAGCCUGAUCCAGCCAUGCCGCGUGAGUGAUGAAGGCCUUAGGGUUGUAAAGCUCUUUCACUGGGGAAGAUAAUGACGGUACCCAGAGAAGAAGCCCCGGCUAACUUCGUGCCAGCCGCCGCAGUAAAAC